rnacentral:rRNA from 1 species
UAACGCGAAGAACCUUACCAAGGCUUGACAUACACCGGAAACGGCCAGAGAUGGUCGCCCCCUUGUGGUCGGUGUACAGGUGGUGCAUGGUUGUCGUCAGCUCGUGUCGUGAGAUGUUGGGUUAAGUCCCGCAACGAGCGCAACCCUCGUUCUAUGUUGCCAGCGCGUUAUGGCGGGGACUCAUAGGAGACUGCCGGGGUCAACUCGGAGGAAGGUGGGGAUGACGUCAAAUCAUCAUGCCCCUUAUGUCUUGGGCUUCACGCAUGCUACAAUGGCCGGUACAAAGGGCUGCGAUACCGUAAGGUGGAGCGAAUCCCAAAAAGCCGGUCUCAGUUCGGAUUGAGGUCUGCAACUCGACCUCAUGAAGUUGGAAUCGCUAGUAAUCGUGGAUCAGC